GAGUUCUCAGUCGUCUGGUAUAAUACGGAGCCGGCUUGCAGUUCAGCCAGGCGAUCUCCCUCUGUUUUGAAGCGAGACUAGCGAGGGAGAAGAGAGAGAAUCACAACCCAGAUCCCCAAAUUCUCUCCUCUACCUGCACAACACCUCUGCCGGGUGUUCACAAUUGCAAUCAAUGGCGGUCCUUCAAGCACUUGAUGAACCCAACCAUAAGAAGCAGAACAAGAACAGGAACCAUGGCUCCACAAAUUUCUUCGUCUUCGUCGAUUACAUUUUCCUUCUCGUUUUCCUUGGUUUCCUUUGUUUCGUAGUAUCCAAAAUUGUCGGUCAUUGAUUCCGUUUUUUCUCUCUACUCUAAUCAAUCCACCAAGCAUUUAGGAUGUCGAGGUUUCCCUGUUGCCGACUUCCAGGAUUUGGGACAUUUCGGGUGUUGAUUUUGAGGAGUUAUUGACCAUAGUAACAAACAACUUUUUGUAUGUGAUAUAUCUUUUUCUUUUCUGUUGUCCUUACCAGCUUCUCAUGUAAGUUAUUACACACAUGCUUAAGCAUGAAUUCAUUAAUGAAAUUACUUGAGUUGCUUCUUUGUUGAUCAA